rnacentral:lncRNA from 1 species
GGUUUUCCUUCUAGUCAUUUUGCUCAGUGCAGAGUGGCCAAAAGCAAGUUGUAUUGGGAAAAGGAGAAAAAGAGAGGAGAGAAAGAAGGAAAGAAAAGAGAAAGAGGGGGAAAAAAAGGAAGAAAAAAACGAAAAAAAGAAGAAAAAGAGAAAGAAAAAGAAAGAAAGAAGAAAAGGGGGUGGGGGAAGGAAACAAAUCAAAAAGCAAAACAAAAACAAAACAAAACAAAAAGAACCACGGGGGAGUAUCUUCUGGUUCUGUAUACUUUAAGUCCCUUGACUUCCCCUGGAACUUGUCCGUCUAGCUGGUCUUCUGGGGGAGGGGCCUGCUGUGCUGAUUUUCAGGUGUUAGCACUUGGGGGAGCUGCUGUGCCCCUGCCUGGUGCAGGGCUCAGUGGGGGAUGUUUACCCCGUGAGGCCCCAGGAGGAACAACCGCAGUGGCGGGGCCAGCUCUGGAGCCCUGGGUUCAGCCCCCACAGCAACUCCAGAGCUCUCCAUCUGCAGGGCCUGGAGGCUCCGGGGCGGGGCCGCUGAUCUGCUCAGCUCGGGGCAGGAGCGUCCUCGCUGUCCUGGGCCCUCCCGGCCUCUGCCUGUCCCGGGGGGAGGCCGGAUCCUGGUCUGUGUCCCGGCGCCCUGUGCUCCCGGGGCCUGCGCUGUUGGAUUCGCGCUCCCGCCCCGCAGCCCCCUCCGCGGAGCCUCUUCCUCCGCCCGAGCCCCUCCGAGCUGCUCCGGGUCCCGCCGUGCGCGCUGCAGCCCUUAGGGAGCUCGGCGCACUCUCCCGGGGCGCAGGUGUCUGUUACUGUCCCCGGGAGCCCGAGGGCAUCCCCGCCCUCCUGGGUCCUGCUCCAACUCCCCGCGAGCCCCUUUCCGCCCGGGAAGGUCGGUGCAGCUCCUGCUCCUCCGGGACGGGGCUCUCCUGUCCUGGGGACACUCGCCCCGGCCUCAGCCCGGCUCCUCGCGGGGCCCCUCCCCCUCGGAGGCCUUUUGUUUCUUUAUUUCUUUUUUCCCGUCUUCCUACCUUGAUAGAAGCGCGAACUCUUCUCACUGUAGCAUUCCAGGUGUUCUCUCUUUCAUUCUCAGGCCGAAUUCAUAGAUUUUCAGGAUAA